GCAGCUAAACCAUCAUCUAGCACUUGGUGGGCCGGCCGUCCACAUCACCCCCACACCCUCCCUGCUCCAUCUCCCCUGAAACGAAAUCACACGCAGCUCGGCCACCGCAGCAGGCCAGCAGCCUGGGCGUGGUGGCCCUUCUCCGCCGCGGCCUCAUCCCGGCUCUCCCCACGCGGUGGCGGCGCGCGUCUCCUGCGGUGCCUCUGCCGCCCGCAUCCAGAAAUUUGUAGCUGAGACUUUCUUCGAGAACAAGCAAGAGCUUUGCCUGUCUUCACAUUAAAGGAGAACUGAAGUGAACAACAGCAAAGGGAAAAUGGCACUAUCACGUAGUAUGAGAACAUGUUUGCACAGUGGAAGGCUUGCCCUUCUUGCCAUAUUGGUCUCUGGUGGAAUUGUGUUGCAGAUCUUGGCUUGUGCUCUCUAUAACAACUGGUGGCCAAUGCUAACAGUUCUGAUGUAUCUUAUCCUACCAAUGCCCCUCAUAUUCUUCCUGGGCUCUGAUACUUCCUCGAUGAUGUCUAAUGGGGGAGAUGGCUGGGUGAACUUCACGAAAUUCUUGACGGGAGCAUCAAUAGUGGGGAGCAUCGCCAUUCCGUCGAUCCUGAAGCACGCCGGUAUCAUUGGAUGGGGAGCGCUGACGAUGGAGCUGUCAUCUUUCGUGGUCUUUGGCGUGGCAAUCAUGUGGUUUCUCCAGAUGAACAGUGAAGACGAGUACAGCAGUGUGGUCUAGACUUCUAGUUUCAGUUCUCACAUCCUCUUGCCCGUGAACUUGUUUGUACAGCUGCAGGAGGAGCAUUACUUAGGGAAAGAUCGGAUACAAUGGUACAUGUUUGGUCUGCAUUUUGUUCGUCCCGUGAAUCCGUGAUGCUGUGCCUCACAUUCAGAAAACAAAAAAUGUUCGGGUGGUAUUUGAUUUCCCGAUUGCCUGCCCCAGUUCGUUCCAUGCCAGUCAAAAGAGAAGCAUGUUCCCUCCGGCACGCAGAUGGGUGGGCACCGGUGCUCGCACGGCUACCCGAGUCCGCUCGCCGUACGGCACGGCACCAGGGCCAAUGGGUGCGUGUGGUGCACGAUUCGUUUUUGUUCACUCCGGCCACAGCCGACUAGCAGAGCCACCGGCAGGCAGCCGGCACGCCAGCGCGCGGCCGGUGGCGCUCAGUCGCGUUCGCCCUGCUCGGGUUCAGUUUUUCAUGUGGAUUGCAUGGCGGUUCCAACAAGUGAGGCAACAAAUUUCACUCUGGCUGUGCCAUGGUCUUUUCAGAGAGAAUUCCGAUCUGAUUGUGCAAAGUGGGUACCCAAUCAACUCGUUAACAAAGCCUUUUAUAUUCACAUCAGAAAAUGACUGUGUUUCUCGUACUAAAUUUUGCAAGGAUACUAGUCCUUCAGUAGUUCAGUUCCCAGGUGUACAUCGACCUUCUUGCUCAUGAACAGCCAGAAAGAAGCAAAAAAUUCUUCUAUGGCUGUGCUCAUAUUGUCAUUCUUACAAUGGGAAGGAAAGGAACCAAAGGUGCCAAAAACAGAGUAGUAUGUUCUGUGGCGCCCUACAUCAUACCAGUUCCAGUGUAUGCGUUUCUGGCAUGGAGCUGCAUCCCUGCACCAGGGUGCAUAUACGGGUCGGCGAACGGAUUCGAAGAGGCUUGCUGCUGCUGUGCCAUCACCAUCAUCAUCUGCCGCUGCUGCUCCUGCUGGAGCAUGAAGGCAUGCUGUUGCUGCGCCAUCGCCACCAUCUGCACGUUGCGGGCUGCGGCAAUGGAGUUGGAGGCGUAGAACGGGUCGUACAUCGGUUGCUGCAUCAUUGGACCUGAUGCUGGAACGGUCUCCCAAGGGUUCUGGCUCGCAUUCUGCUGUGCCUGCUGUGCUUGACGGUGCGCCUCAUUGUAUAGACUGUCAAGUGUAAGCAGGUCCAGUCCACCAGCCUGUAGCAAGUACAGUCAGUAUGGCUGCAGAGGGACCGAAUAAGGCAAUCAGAUGUGUCAGGGGUUGAUUCAUUCAUUCCCUGCCAAGACAAUGAGGAGUUUUAGGACGCAUGAUUGGCUAAUGGCUGGUGCCUGACUAGUGUAGUAGCAUGGAAAAUUACCAGCAGAUCUGUUGGUUCAGCCGCGGGAGGGACUUCUUUAACUGGCUCAGGUACAGGUUCUGAAGCUGGAGCUGGAGGCGGUGGCAUUGAUGGUUCUUCAGCUUCCAAUUUUCUGUUGUAUUCUAUAGCUAGUACAGCCUAGAAAAACAAACAAAUGGGCAUAAAAGAGACCAUCAAAAUGCUGUUAAAAGUAACUUCUCUAGAGUAACCGGAAACAGCUUGCUUAUUAUACAUAGUAGCAGAUAACAAAGACCCCAGGAAACAAACAGCUAUUGUACUGAAACAAAUAUCACAAACUUUUAGUACUUC